rnacentral:ncRNA from 2 species
CGAACCCGCGCGGGAGAGUCCGGACGGCCCACCGGCCGCACCGGCGCCGAAGGAGCAAAUCCUCCCCGGAACCUCUCAGGCAAACGGACCGCGUGGGUGAG